rnacentral:rRNA from 1 species
GCACAAGCAGCGGAGCGUGUGGUUUAAUUCGAUGAUACACGAAGAACCUUACCAGGGUUUGACAUGCUGGUAGUAGGGAUCCGAAAGGUGACCGACCCUCGGGGAGCCAGCACAGGUGCUGCAUGGCUGUCGUCAGCUCGUGUCGUGAGAUGUUCGGUUAAGUCCGCUAACGAGCGCAACCCUUGCUGUGUGUUACAUGUGUCACACGGGACUGCCGGUUUUAAACCGGAGGAAGGUGGGGAUGAUGUCAAGUCAGCAUGGCCUUUAUAUCCUGGGCUACACACACGCUACAAUGGCCGGUACAAUAGGUUGCGAAGCCGCGAGGCGGAGCCAAUCCUCAAAGCCGGCCUCAGUUCAGAUUGCAGGCUGCAACCCGCCUGCAUGAAGAUGGAGUUGCUAGUAACCGCAGGUCAGCAAUACUGCGGUGAAUACGUUCCCGGGGCUU